UACGUAGGGUGCAAGCGUUGUCCGGAAUUAUUGGGCGUAAAGAGCUCGUAGGCGGUCUGUCACGUCGGCUGUGAAAACCCGAGGCUCAACCUCGGGCCUGCAGUCGAUACGGGCAAACUAGAGUACUGCAGGGGAGACUGGAAUUCCUGGUGUAGCGGUGAAAUGCGCAGAUAUCAGGAGGAACACCGGUGGCGAAGGCGGGUCACUGGGCCACUACUGACGCUGAGGAGCGAAAGCAUGGGGAGCGAACAGG
rnacentral:rRNA from 1 species